ensembl:lncRNA
CAAAGACCGCAAGAGGAACAAAGACCGCGGGAAGAGCCAUUACAUAAAAGGAUAAAGAGGGCGCACAACGUGGGCAUUGCGGAAGCUGUAAGGCGCCUUCACAAUUCGGAAAACAACCCACAUAAAUAUGAUCCACAAACUGGAAUAAGUUCGCCUCGUAACCAAUCAGUCAUGACUUAUCUGCUAGAGGAAUUGAAAACAACUUUUGCAGAUGCAGACCCUGAGUGUAUACAAGUUGCUGGAUUCCAGGUCCAAGGUUGUUCAAACCGAUGCAGAGAGAGAGCUUUGGCAGACUGAAACAGUGGAGCUGAUGUCUGACGAGGAGGAUGCCAUUGUUGAUGGAAGGCCAGUGUGGAUUGUGAGGUCUCCAUCUCACAGGAACCCACAAUUGUCAGAACUUUGUGAGGAGCUUCAGCGCAGAUUGGAGGCAGACAUGCGCUACACUAUUUUGCAUCAUCAGCGUGUUAAGGCUGAUGGAAAUGGACAUGGACAUGAUGGACCUUCCUUUCUUCAACUUUAACUAAACUGCACUGGUUUUGCAAUUUUAAUAAUUGCACCACAAACUGCACAUUUUCACUUAUUCUCUUCUAUUUUAUCUUAUUCUUUGUAUACUUAUUAGGUUAGAUUUAUUUAGUUUCAUAUUCUGCAACUUAUUUUCUUUUAAUAUUGUUUGUGUUUGCUGUGUUUGGUUACAUUUUAAAUACUUUGUGCUGUGUGUACAUAUUAAGUAGUUUAUUUAGUUUUAUAUUCUCUAACUGUUAUAAUAUUGCUUGUGUUUAGUAAAAUUUUAUAAAAGUACUUUGCUUUGUGUACAUAUUAUUUUGUUUUAUAUUUUGUAACUGUUAUAAUAUUGCUUGUGUUUGGUUAAAUUUUAUAAAAGUACUUUUUCCCCUGUACAGUUCCUAUAGUUUAAUUUAUAUAUUUAAUGCUUUAUUUAUAUAUUUAAUGCUUUAAGGGUUUUGGUUUAAUUUUAAUAAAAAGAAAUUCUGAAUCCA